rnacentral:rRNA from 1 species
CCAAUAGCGUAUAUUAAAGUUGUUGCAGUUAAAAAGCUCGUAGUUGAAUUUCGGGAUCAAUUUAUCGGUCGUGCCUAUGGUAUGAACUGGUACAAUUGGUUUCUCCCUUCUGACGAAGCAUGAUGUCAUUAAUUUGGUGUCGUGGGGAAUCAGGACUGUUACUUUGAAAAAAUUAGAGUGUUUAAAGCAAGCAUUAGCUUGAAUACAUUA